UCAGGCAGCAACCAGGGGGCCUGUGUGUAAAGUCUGGCUUCCGACACUGUGCUUUCCCUCUUUCCCCGCAUGUGCACUGCUCACGGCGCUCAGAGGUGCUGCCAGAGCCAGACUUUCUCUCUCAUUCAUUCAUGACUCUUGCUAGGAAUUCCCGUGGUCCAGGGGAUGGAAGAUCCACAAGACAGAAGCAACCUGCGUCUAUUUGUUUGCAUGGAACAUAGCCACACUCCCCCAUCCUAACAUUGCUGCUGGACUUUUGGUACCCAUCUAAUUGUUGUUAGGGAUCACUGUCAUAAGUCAUCCUGUGUGUAGCCACCAAAUUCAGAGAUCUACUCAUCUGAAAACAGACAAACAAAGAGACAUCUCUAGCUCAGAAGAAGCCCGAGGGGCAUCUGAAGAAAAAUCUCUAAAUUGUUUAUGGGAAAAGGCCUGUGCUGAAUGCCCUGAUAUUUUCUUUGCUUGCUGGGAAUUUCCCUUUUCCAUGAUAUGAUGGAUACUGGAAGCAACCCUUCAGUGCACAAUCUCCUCAGAAGGUGUUCAAAACCUACCCGACUCUCUGACCUUUUAGGAGCCUACACAUAUCACACACUUCUUUUCUGGACACCUCCUGUGUAGAAAUUAGUAAGACCUACUUCACUGACUAUGUGUGAAGACGAAAAGUGGUGAUGUACCCGAAUUACUUUGCACAACUUAUCGAGCUCUUCGUCACUGUCCUGUACUCACUGGAGUGAAAUAAACAUAGAGAAGGGCAAGGCAAAUGAGGCUUGGAGAGUAAGGGAAGGCUUAUUGUAGCUGAGGUGACUGUAGCUGCACUUUGGAAGAGAGGAUGAAAACUCGAGUGGUGGAAAGGAUCCUGUUAUCUUCUACAGCUAUAGAAAUCUGGGAAUAUGCCUUUAUGUGAAGGCUGAUAGCAACAAGAGCACAGGUCUGUUAGAACAUAUUAAAAAUCACCAUUAGUCUACCACCUACAGGGAAUUGAACUCAGGACUUUGCACUUGCCAGUUGGCAUUCUGCAGAGGAACCGCAGAGAAUGGCCCUGCCAAUGGUGUAGUUGAACCAGGCUGCUAAAAUGACCAGUACUGUCUCCCUUAGCUUUGUAUGUUUCACGUGGAUUUUCCAAGGACAGUGAAGAGUGUUUACUGCCUGGAUAUUAAUUUUCUCCCCAUGGAAAAAGAAGCCAGGAGAUGGAUCACCAGGUGCUUAGCUAGCACAGAAAAUGUGGUCUGCAUUCAUCUAUCUUCCAUUCAGUCUCCCUGCAGAAAGACAUUAUGGGUUAGCCCCACUCCUCUGACUACAAGUAUCACGUGUAACAGCUUUACAGGUGGCCUUAACAGAGUGUCAGGAAACUAAUCAAUGUAGCUUUUCACAAAGGAAUCUACUUGAUCAAUAUCAGCAAGCAAGUGCAGACCUAUCACACAGAUCACAUAAGAGUUUUUAUGAUCAAUAGAAGUUACAGAGAAA